GACGAACGCUGGCGGCGUGCUCAACACAUGCAAGUCGAACGGAAAGGCCCUGCUUUUGUGGGGUGCUCGAGUGGCGAACGGGUGAGUAACACGUGAGUAACCUGCCCUUGACUUUGGGAUAACUUCAGGAAACUGGGGCUAAUACCGGAUAGGAGCUCCUGCUGCAUGGUGGGGGUUGGAAAGUUUCGGCGGUUGGGGAUGGACUCGCGGCUUAUCAGCUUGUUGGUGGGGUAGUGGCUUACCAAGGCUUUGACGGGUAGCCGGCCUGAGAGGGUGACCGGCCACAUUGGGACUGAGAUACGGCCCAGACUCGUACGGGAGGCAGCAGUGGGGAAUAUUGCACAAUGGGCGGAAGCCUGAUGCAGCAACGCCGCGUGCGGGAUGACGGCCUUCGGGUUGUAAACCGCUUUCGCCUGUGACGAAGCGUGAGUGACGGUAAUGGGUAAAGAAGCACCGGCUAACUACGUG
rnacentral:rRNA from 1 species